rnacentral:rRNA from 1 species
CUGUCCUACGGGAGGCAGCAGUGGGGGAUAUUGCACAAUGGGGGGAACCCUGAUGCAGCGACGCCGCGUGGGUGAAGAAGCGCCUCGGCGCGUAAAGCCCUGUCAGCAGGGAAGAAAAUGACGGUACCUGAAGAAGAAGCCCCGGCUAACUACGUGCCAGCAGCCGCGGUAAUACGUAGGGGGCAAGCGUUAUCCGGAUUUACUGGGUGUAAAGGGGGCGCAGACGGCGAUGCAAGCCAGGAGUGAAAGCGCGGGUCCCAACCCCGGGACUGUGCUUGGAACUGCGUGGCUGGAGUGCGGGAGGG